rnacentral:rRNA from 1 species
GACGAACGCUGGCGGCGUGCUUAACACAUGCAAGUCGAACGGAGAAUCCCCAGCUUGCUGGAGUGGGUCAGUGGCGAACGGGUGAGUAACACGUUAGCAACGUGCCACUGACAGAGGAAUAAGCGCUGGAAACGGCGUGUAAUAGUGGAUACGAGUAGGGUGCGCAUGGGCAGUCUCUGGAGAGUUUUUCGGUUGGGGAUGGGCUCGCGGCCUAUGAGCUUGUUGGUGAGGUAGUGGCUCACCAAGGCGAGCACGGGUAGCCGGCCUGAGAGGCCGACCGGCCACACUGGGACUGAGACACGGCCCAGACUCCUACGGGAGGCAGCAGUGGGGAAUAUUGCACAAUGGGCGAAAGCCUGAUGCAGCGACGCCGCGUGAGGGAUGACAGCCUUCGGGUUGUAAACCUCUUUCAGCAGGGAAGAAGCGAAAGUGACGGUACCUGCAGAAGAAGCACCGGCUAACUACGUG